AAGCUCCAUAGACACAUCGCCUGGCUCAUCAGAGGUUGUGAGAAUCUUUGAAUUCGGAGUAAGAUCAGAAAGAAGAGAUGUUUCUGAUGAAGCUGAAAGAACUGGAUUGAACGCCAAUGCAGAGCUUUUUGCCAUUAGGCUGGUAGAAUUAGAGUCUGAAAUCUCUGAAAUGGCAGAGAAAUCACUGGAUUCCUUGAUGGUCUCGGAGGAAACAGCUUCAGAAACCGUGGAAAACACACCAUUCAAGCUUUUCGUAGCAAUCUUUUGAGGCUUCUUCAAUCGA
rnacentral:misc_RNA from 1 species